CACUGAGCAACAGGGGCUGCCACGGUGGCCAGCUCAGACAUGACAGAGCUCAGCAGAGAAUGGACAAUCAGGCUUCCCUGAGAUGAGCAGCAGCGCAGAGGAGGUGCCCCUCUCUUACUACAAUGACUUCAGGAGAGCUUCGUGCGCCUGGUGGAGGCCUGUGGGGACUCGGAGCAGAGCAUGGACAACUGGCUGAGUCUGCUGGAUGGCUGCUGCUGGCUGUAACAUGUAGAGGAGGCACUGAGCACCGCCUGCCUGGCAGCCCAGGGCAUGGAGAGAUGCCCAUGUGAAGUGAGGGCUCGGAUGCACUCCCUGUGGUCUUGGCUCAGCCAGCCAAAAGAGCAACAAAGACUCCGGAACCCACUCUACAUCCUCAAUCCCUUGGCCAUCUGUGGAGCCCCAGAGCCUGCGGCUGGGCAAGGUGAGCCCCACACCUUCUCCACGGGGGAUUAUCCCUCCGCUCAGUGUCCUGACCUGUGUUCCUCUUCCUCGGGCCUGUUUCUUCACUGGACCCACUCACCUGAGCCUGCAGAAGCCGCAUGGGGGAAGAGCGUGGCAAACAGUGACAGGAAGGGAGAAGACAGAAGCCUCUCAGCCAACUACUUCAGCCCCCACCCUAAGCACUGGCUCCUUGGACAGCAACCGAGACAUUCCUGA
ensembl:lincRNA